UUGCCCCAGUAACGGCGAGUGAAGCGGCAACAGCUCAAAUUUGAAAUCUGGCCCCCAGGGCCCGAGUUGUAAUUUGCAGAGGAUGCUUUUGGCAAGGUGCCUUCCGAGUUCCCUGGAACGGGACGCCAUAGAGGGUGAGAGCCCCGUCUGGUCGGACGCCGAGCCUCUGUAAAGCUCCUUCGACGAGUCGAGUAGUUUGGGAAUGCUGCUCUAAAUGGGAGGUAUAUGUCUUCUAAAGCUAAAUACCGGCCAGAGACCGAUAGCGCACAAGUAGAGUGAUCGAAAGAUGAAAAGCACUUUGAAAAGAGGGUUAAACAGUACGUGAAAUUGUUGAAAGGGAAGCGCUCAUGACCAGACUUGGACCCGGUGAAUCAUCCAGCGUUCUCGCUGGUGCACUUCGCCGGGCUCAGGCCAGCAUCAGUUUGUCCCGGGGGAUAAAGGCUCGGGGAAUGUGGCUCCCUCGGGAGUGUUAUAGCCCCCCGCACAAUACCCUGGGGCGGACUGAGGUUCGCGCAUCUGCAAGGAUGCUGGCGUAAUGGUCAUCAGCGACCCGUCUUGAAACACGGACCAAGGAGUCGUCUUCGUAUGCGAGUGUUCGGGUGUCAAACCCCUACGCGUAAUGAAAGUGAACGCAGGUGAGAGCUUCGGCGCAUCAUCGACCGAUCCUGAUGUUCUCGGAUGGAUUUGAGUAAGAGCAUACGGGGCCGGACCCGAAAGAAGGUGAACUAUGCCUGUAUAGGGUGAAGCCAGAGGAAACUCUGGUGGAGGCUCGCAGCGGUUCUGACGUGCAAAUCGAUCGUCAAAUAUGGGCAUGGGGGCGAAAGACUAAUCGAACCUUCUAGUAGCUGGUUUC
rnacentral:rRNA from 1 species